rnacentral:rRNA from 1 species
GAUGAACGCUGGCGGCGUGCUUAACACAUGCAAGUCGAGCGGACAGACGAAAGUUUUGCUUCUUCCUUGUUAGGGGCGGGCGGGUGAGUCACACGUGUAUACCCUACCUAUAUGACUGAGAUACCUUCGGGAAUCCGUAUCUCACACCCGAUGAUCUUUUGAACCGCAGGGUUCUAAAGAGAAUUCCGGUCUUGCUGUCACUUACAGAUUGUUCCGCGCUGGAUUAGCUAAUUGCUAAGGUAACGGCCUACGAAGGCAACGAUGCGUAGCCGAUCUGAGAGGGUGAUAGGCCACACUGGAGCUGAGACACGGUCCAGACUCCUACGGGAGGCAGCAGUAGGGAAUAUUAGGCAAUGGGCGGAAGCCUGACGCAGCGACGCCGAGUGUGUGAUGAAGGCCUUCGGAUCGUAAAGCUCUGUUAUUGGGGAAGAACAUAUGUGGAAGUAAACGUGCAGAUAGUGACGGUACCUAGUAAAAAAGCCACGGCUAACUACGUG